CUUUAUUAUGUCAUUCUAAAAAACAAGGUACUUCUUCUUUGAGAUACCAUAUUGACACAUGUAAGGCUUUUAUUGAGACUGGGAUUGGAAGGGAUAACCCCCAAUAAAAAACGACCGGACCUAGGAGGGAUGGGGUGGAUGGUACAUCUAGUAGUCCUAGUUUUGGACUUGCCAAGUAUAAUGAGCAGAAAAUAAGGUUGGUGGUAGCUAAGAUGAUAAUUGUGGAUGAGCUACCAUUUAGAUUUGUAGAAAAACAGGGAUUUAAAGACUUUAUGGCAGCAGUUGAGCCUAGAUUUUCAAUCCCCUCUCGCAUUACUAUUAUGCGAGAUUGUAUGAAAAUGUACUUGUCAGAAAAAAACAAGUUAAAGGACAUAUUCAUGGCAUCUAAUUAUAAGAUUUGCAUCACUACUGACAUGUGGACAUCAGUGCAAAAUCUUAACUAUAUGUGCAUAACAUCUCAUUUUAUUGAUGAUGAUUGGGUUUUGCAUAAAAGAAUUAUAGGCUUUAUGAAAGUUCCUAAUCAUAAAGGGACAACAAUAGGAAGAGAGAUCGAGUCAUCUAUACUUAGAUGGGGCAUAAAGAAGAUAUUUACAAUCACAGUAGACAAUGCAUCCUCUAAUACUACUGCCAUUGAUUAUUUGAGAAAGAUUACCAAAAUUAGAGAUUGUUUGGAACUAGACAAUGACCUUAUGCACAUAAGAUGUUGUGUACAUAUUUUGAAUCUUAUUGUCCAUGAUGGCUUGAAAGAAAUUGAUAGAUCAAUUGUAAAAAUUUGAAAUGCGGUGAAAUAUGUGAAGUCUUCCCCUGCAAGACUUGAAAAUUUCAAGUCUUGCGCGGAGAGACAAAAUAUCUUCGGUGGUGCGCUUCUUUCUCUUGAUGUUCCAACUAGGUGGAACUCAACAUAUUUGAUGUUGAGUGCAGCUCUCAAUUAUUAUGCGGCUUUUGAGGUAAUGCAAGAUGAAGACAAUCAGUUUGGUCCGCAUUUACGUGAGGUUGGAGAAGGACCACCAACUUUAGAUGAUUGGAAAAUUGUCAAGAUUUUUGUACAAUUUUUGAAGAUUUUUUAUGAUAUUACCUUACGGGUUUCAGGCUCAACUUAUGCAACUUCACAUUUGUUCAUUAGAGAAAUAGCUUCAAUCUAUAACCAUUUGAUCAAAUUUUCUAUGGGUGAUGAUAAUAUGUUGAAAAUUAUGUCGAAGAGGAUGAUGUUGAAAUAUGACAAGUAUUGGGGGGAUUUUGAGAAAGUAAACAAAAUCUUAUUUAUUGCGGCUAUGCUUGAUACGCGCGCCAAGUUGGAAGUUUUAGAGUUUUGGUUUACAGAUUUUAUUGGCCAUGAGCGAGCGUCUGAACUUGUUACAAGGUUAAGGAGGAUGAUUGAACGGAUGUAUAAACAAUAUUCAAAAUCCAAUGUAGGUUCAAGUGUUGAUGAGAGUCAAAGCAACACAACGUCUCAUAAUGCGGCGGAUAUUUAUAGUAGGUAUCGGCAGUAUCAAGCAUCAAAGGGUGUCAUAGAGUCCAAAUCAGAGUUGGAUCGAUAUUUUAUGGGGAGCCUUGAAGGAUUGACACCCAACUUUGAUAUUUUAAUGUGAUGGAAGAUGAAUUCAAUCAAUUUUCCGAUCCUUGCCAAUAUAGCUCGAGAUGUGUUAGCUAUUCUCAUAUCUACUGUUGCUUCCGAGUCAGCAUUUAGCGUUGGAGGUCGUGUCUUAAAUUCAUUCCGUAGCUCAUUGGCCCCUGCAACAGUUGAAGCUCUUAUAUGCACACAAAAUUGGUUGAUGGCUCCCUCCGUUAAUUAUGACUCCCAAGAUGUAAUGGAAGAUGCGGAAAGUUACAAGUUAGAUACUGAAAUGAUGAUGAAUAUUUUGAAUGAGGCCGAUUGAAGAUGACUUGAAUUUUCCUUACUAACUCACGGGGUUGCAUGCACUUUUUACUGGAGGAAGAUGAUACUUGGGAGGCUUGGCUCAAUGUUGAUGCUUCUGGUUUUUCUAGUGUUAUUGGUUUAGUUAGAAAUGAAAUUAAGUUGUGAUAGCAGAGCCCACACACUAAUGAUAGCAGAGCACUUAUGGAAUUAGUGUUUGUUUUAUGAGUAAGUCUUUUGGGUUCUGAUUUUGAAUGCCAUUGUCUUUAUGUCUGUGGUCUUGUUCUGCAAUUUGUAUCAUAUUCAUUCUACAAAUGUCUACUCGUUUAAAGUGCAUUUUAAUUUUAUUUGUUGUAGUAAGGAAAAUGUGGA